UACGAGAGGCCCAAACGUUAUUCGGAAUCACUGGGCUUAAAGAGUUCGUAGGCGGCGCGGAUAGUGGGGUGUGAAAGCCCUCGGCUUAACCGAGGAAUUGCGCUCCAUACUCCCGCGCUAGAGGAGGCUAGAGGUAAGCAGAACUGAUGGUGGAGCGGUGAAAUGCGUUGAUAUCAUCAGGAAUACCGGAGGCGAAGGCGGCUUACUGGGACCUUUCUGACGCUGAGGAACGAAAGCUAGGGGAGCAAACGGG
rnacentral:rRNA from 1 species